AGUGGAAUUGCUGGAUCAUAAGGUAAUGCUAUGUUUAACUUUUUGAGGAACCACCAUACUGUUUUCCAAAGUGGCUGCACCAUUUUAUAUUCCCACCAGCAAU
rnacentral:pre_miRNA from 1 species